rnacentral:tRNA from 1 species
GAGAAUAGUUUAAUGGUAAAACCUUGGUUUCCAAAAAGCGGCAUUUAAACAUUAUAAGUUAACCAUAA